CAGCAGGGUGGAUCAUCCCCAUCUCAACAAAGUUAUGGAAGCAGCCAGGGUGGCUCAUCAUCCCAACAAAAUUAUGGAAGUAGUCAGGGUGGAUCAUCAUACCAGCCAAGUUAUGGAAACAACCAGG